GUACAUCUACGACCCUGCCGAUCAGUCCCUUGCCGCAGAGCAGCAAGGCAAGCAAACCUCCCCUUGAUCAUUCCUAUAUCGCCUAUGUCUCUCUUCCUACUGCUUGCAUUAGUAUUUUGCUACUGUUGUAGUUAGCUCCUAUAUCUGAUGCAUAGCCUGUUUUUGAUGAACUGCUACUUUCAGUCCUGUACCUUUAACCUGCUUAGUAUAGGUGGAGCAGUCAUCCCCUCUGACCCCGUAGAUCAGUUGCCCCGCUGGUUUCCAAAUCUCGAUCUCUGAUCGACGAGCCAGACCCGACACAACACAUUCACCCCCCUUCGUUGUACGACGCUACAGAGGUACUAUCGGGUACCUAGGGUGACACCUCGCUAAGUACUCCUGAUGAGAUCUCUGUAGUAUACCUAGUCGGUCGUGGUUAUCGAGGGUGAUUCCUCUUUCACCAUUCCCGAUGACGUCUCUGUCGUGCCACCCCGCGAGUGUGGGACCCCCGAGGGUGAUUCCUCUAAGCCCACCUUGACGGGUACAUCGUUCGGAAUCCAACGAGGGUGAUACCUCGGAUUCCCCCUCGAUGUUACAACCACACAGUUACUCGACCAUGUUACUGGGAUCAUUGGUGAUUAGUUGUAAGACGGGUGGAUUCCCGCGAGACCGUGUUGUUGGCCCAUUUAAAAUGCUAAUGGAUUUGGGUAUUUGAUCUGGGUUGGUCGGAGACCUUUUCGCACUAACCGGCUACGCGGGAAGAAUUAUGGGUACUCGACGUCGCGGUAUCAGCCGAAGCUUUUCAGAUGCCAGCAGUGUAGCGGCGCGCGCCCGAGUGGUCCCGAGAUGCAUCGCGCUUGUGAUUAAGGGAUGCUAGGACUGACGUCGGCCGCCCACGCCACGUGCAGGAGCGUGAAGGGGAACUGGGCCCAUGAACCCUUUGUGCUUAGGAUUUAGACCGGCGGGCUGGCCUCUCUGAUUAGUCUUAGGUGGGGCUGCGACGUGUCGAUAUUCCGAGGCCGGGCAGGACCCAGAAAAGUAUGUCCGGCCAGAGUGUUAUCGAGCGUGACGGGACAUGUGGUGCACCCCUGCAGGGAUGAAAAUUAACUAUUCGGAUAGCCGUGUCCACGGUUACAGGACGACUUGGAGUUGUGCCCCGAUCUUAUACUACUACAAUUGUUACUUAACUGGAAUUAGUUUGCCUCGGGAUUGCUUCCUCGCAGGGAGUCGAGGGAGGAUCCUUAGGCGUGACCUCACUUUAAUACUGCUGCAACAAUAUGACUAUUAUGUGUUCCCCCUGUUCUACUCUCGUCUAUUGCUGCAAGACCCUGAAGAUGCUAGUCUUCGAUAGGACUAGGCCUUCCCUCUCUAUUCUCGCAUUGCUGCAGUCAGUACACAUAUAACCCCCCCCCUUCUUUGAUACUGAUGCAUAAUUAGAAUAGUUCUGAUGUAAGACUUGCGAGUACUUUGGAUGAGUACUCACCGCUGCUUUGCUCCCCCCUUGUUCCCUUGAUCCGUUUGCUGCAACCAGAUGAUGAAGCCCAGGAGAUGGAGGUCCCCGCCACCGACGACUGCUACCCCGACGGUGCCUACUACUACGUGGAGGCCGCUGAUGAUCAGGAGUAGUUAGGAGGUUCCCAGGCAGGAGGCCUCGCCUCGUUCGAUCGUUGUAUCUUUUGUGCUAGCCUUCUCUAAG
rnacentral:lncRNA from 1 species